CGUGCACCAGUGGAGUCCCUCGGCCUGGCCUGCAUCCUCUUGAAAUCUGAGACCCCUUGGGGGAUAUCGGACUAUGGGUUUCAGUCCAAUCCCUGCAGGCCAGGCUGAGGGACCCCACUGGUGCACG
rnacentral:pre_miRNA from 1 species